CGCCCAUAUUACGUUAAAACACCUGUUCCUCUCCGAUCACCGAAGUUAAGCAACGUCGAGCCUGGUCAGUACUUAGAAAGGCCAAUGCUUGGUGAUAUCAAGUGCUGUAAG